rnacentral:rRNA from 1 species
UACAGAGGGGGCAAGCGUUGUUCGGAAUUACUGGGCGUAAAGGGCGCGUAGGCGGCCUUCUAAGUCGAACGUGAAAUCCCCGGGCUCAACCCGGGAACUGCGUCCGAUACUGGAAGGCUUGAAUCCGGGAGAGGGAUGCGGAAUUCCAGGUGUAGCGGUGAAAUGCGUAGAUAUCGGGAGGAACACCAGUGGCGAAGGCGACUUCCUGGCCUGUUCUUGACGCUGAGGCGCGAAAGCUAGGGGAGCAAACGGG